rnacentral:tRNA from 1 species
GGAACAUUGUGGCUCAGUGGCAGAGCAUCUGCUCGGCAUGCAGAACAUCCUCGGGUCAAUCCCCACUGCGUCCA